rnacentral:rRNA from 1 species
GAUGAACGCUGGCGGCGUGCCUAAUACAUGCAAGUCGAGCGAACAGAUGAGGAGCUUGCUCCUCUGACGUUAGCGGCGGACGGGUGAGUAACACGUGGAUAACCUACCUAUAAGACUGGGAUAACUUCGGGAAACCGGAGCUAAUACCGGAUAAUAUAUUGAACCGCAUGGUUCAAUAGUUAAAGACGGUUUUGCUGUCACUUAUAGAUGGAUCCGCGCCGCAUUAGCUAGUUGGUAAGGUAACGGCUUACCAAGGCAACGAUGCGUAGCGGACCUGAGAGGGUGAUGAGCCACACUGGAACUGAGACACGGUCCAGACUCCUACGGGAGGCAGCAGUGGGGAAUAUUGGACAAUGGGCGAAAGACUGAUGAAGCAAUACAGCGUGGGUGAAGAAGGCCUUCGGGUCGUAAAGCCCUGUUGUUGGGAAAGAAAAGAAGCAGGUGAAAACACCGAUGUUCUGACGGUACCAAAAGAAAAAGCAACGGCUAACUUCGUG